UCGGGAAUUUUGUGCAAUGGGCGAAAGCCUGACACAGCAACGCCGCGUGAAGGAUGAAGUCCCUCGGGAUGUAAACUUCGUAAGAAUAGGAAGAAUAAAUGACGGUACUAUUUGUAAGGUCCGGCUAACUACGUGCCAGCAGCCGCGGUAAUACGUAGGGACCAAGCGUUGUUCGGAUUUACUGGGCGUAAAGGGUGCGUAGGCGGCAUAUCAAGUCACUUGUGAAAUCUCCGGGCUUAACUCGGAACUGCCAAGUGAUACUGAUGUGCUAGAGUGCAGAAAGGGCAACUGGAAUUCUUGGUGUAGCGGUGAAAUGCGUAGAUAUCAAGAGGAACACCUGAGGCGAAGGCGAGUUGCUAGGCUGACACUGACGCUGAGGUACGAAAGCUAGGGGAGCGAACGGGAUUAGAUACCC
rnacentral:rRNA from 1 species